rnacentral:rRNA from 1 species
CCCUUAGAUGUUCUGGGCAGCACGAGCGCUACAAUGGUCUUCGCAAACGGAUGCAUUCUCGAAGGAGAAUGCCAAUCUUGGAAUCUAUGCCUUGGUCGGGACAGUUGCUUGCAAUUUUUCGACUCGAACCAGGAAUUCCUUGUAAUCGUGAUUCAUCACAUCACGAUGAAUACGUCCCUGCCCUUUGUACACACCGCCCGUCGCUCCUACCGAUCGAAGAGUUAGGUGAAUUGUUUUGAUCGAUAAGAUUUGACUAUGGUCAACUCUCGUUGUGAAAUUCUGUGAAUCUGACUGUUUAGAGGAAGGAAAAGUCGUAACA